GAUGAACGCUGGCGGCGUGCUUAACACAUGCAAGUCGAACGGAAAGGCCCUGCUUAUGUGGGGUGCCCGAGUGGCGAACGUGUGAGUAACACGUGAGUAAUCUGCCCUGGACUUCGGGACAACUUCAGGAAACUGAGGCUAAUACAGGACAGGUGCUCCUGCUGAAUGGCGGGGGUCGGAAAGUUUCGGCGGUAGGGGCUGGACUCGCGGCUGAUUAGCUUGCUGGCGGGGAAGUGGCUUACCAAGGCAUUGACGGGAAGCAUGGCUGAUAGGGUGGCAGGCCCCAUUGGGACUGGGAUGCGGCCCAGACUCCUCCGGGAGGCAGCAGUGGAGUGUAGUGCACUGUGGGCGGAAGCCAAAUCCAGUGACGCCGCGUGGGGGGUGACAGCCUGCGUGUUGUUAUCCGCAUCCGCCUGUGACGAAGCGAAAGUGACGGUAAUGGGUUAAGAAGCACCGGCUAACUACGUG
rnacentral:rRNA from 1 species